CAAGGAGCAAUGAUGGAAAAAUUCCAAUGCCAUCUUAUUUCUAUGAUGAUAAAGAGGCUGUUUCUGAGCUC
rnacentral:snoRNA from 1 species